rnacentral:lncRNA from 1 species
AGCUGCUAUGGCCACCGUGGAAUCUGGAAUCUGGCAGAAAGUUCUACUGCCAGGCUCACAUCAUUUUUAUUGGCCAGAGCCCAGUCACAUGACCCCAACUUAACUGCAAGGGAUGCUGGGCAAUAUAGUCCAGUAGUGUGGCUAGCAGGAAAAUUAAAGGGGUUUGGUGAAUCCAUUGCUCCUGCCAUCACCCAGAUUAAAGACCUGCCCUCUCAUCCGCAGUCAGGGAUUGAGUGGGCAAGCACUGUGGGCUGCAGACACCAAGCUCCACCAUGAUUCCCCCUCCACUCUCAGAGGCUCCAUCCAGCUGGCAGGCUCACAGCACUGCAGCCCAGCAUCUGAAGUGGUACUGUCCCUAGGCUGAUGACUGUCACAUUUUUAGUGGGGCCAAAACUUUCCUCCAAGAUUCAGAUGUGUGUCACCAACUAGAGAGCAGGCUUGGAAUUUAAAAAUAAAGUUUUCAGUAAGUUGA